GAUGAACGCUGGCGGCGUGCCUAAUACAUGCAAGUCGAGCGAACAGACGAGGAGCUUGCUCCUCUGACGUUAGCGGCGGACGGGUGAGUAACACGUGGAUAACCUACCUAUAAGACUGGGAUAACUUCGGGAAACCGGAGCUAAUAACGGAUAAUAUAUUGAACCGCAUGGUUCAAUAGUGAAAGACGGUUUUGCUGUCACUUAUAGAUGGAUCCGCGCCGCAUUAGCUAGUUGGUAAGGUAACGGCUUACCAAGGCGACGAUGCGUAGCCGACCUGAGAGGGUGAUCGGCCACACUGGAACUGAGACACGGUCCAGACUCCUACGGGAGGCAGCAGUAGGGAAUCUUCCGCAAUGGGCGAAAGCCUGACGGAGCAACGCCGCGUGAGUGAUGAAGGUCUUCGGAUCUUAAAACUCUGUUAUUAGGGAAGAACAAAUGUGUAAGUAACUAUGCACGUCUUGACGGUACCUAAUCAGAAAGCCACGGCUAACUACGUG
rnacentral:rRNA from 1 species